AUUGAACGCUGGCGGAAUGCUUUACACAUGCAAGUCGAACGGCAGCAUAGGUGCUUGCACCUGAUGGCGAGUGGCGAACGGGUGAGUAAUACAUCGGAACGUGCCCAGUCGUGGGGGAUAACGUAGCGAAAGUUACGCUAAUACCGCAUACGAUCUAAGGAUGAAAGCGGGGGACCGUAAGGCCUCGCGCGAUUGGAGCGGCCGAUGUCAGAUUAGGUAGUUGGUGAGGUAAAGGCUCACCAAGCCGACGAUCUGUAGCUGGUCUGAGAGGACGACCAGCCACACUGGGACUGAGACACGGCCCAGACUCCUACGGGAGGCAGCAGUGGGGAAUUUUGGACAAUGGACGCAAGGCUGAUCCAGCCAUUCCGCGUGCAGGACGAAGGCCUUCGGGUUGUAAACUGCUUUUGUACGGAACGAAAAAGCUCUUACUAAUACUAGGAGUCCAUGACGGUACCGUAAGAAUAAGCACCGGCUAACUACGUGCCAGCCGCCGCCGUAAGAC
rnacentral:rRNA from 1 species